CAUUAUUUGCCAUUGGCACAUAAUUAUAUCAUUAUCAAAGAGAAAAAAAAACCUGUCUGGGGAUUACAAAUAGCCAUUUUUGGCAAUUUGCAGAACUUGAAAUUAAUCAUGGCAAAUUUAUCAUGCAGCCAGAUGUAGGUUGUGCGUGAUACUAAGGUUCGAGUGCAAGACCAUUUCAAAUUAACAUUUAAAGAUAUGUGGACCAUCUCAUAACAUUCUCAUGUGUGUGUUGCACUUAGACCUGGGUAACUCUUUAAAAUGAACAAGAGAAUUGUUCUUAAUUUCAAAGAAGGUUUGAGUGAUUUGCACUAGAGAUGUCAUUGGUGAUCACAACAAAAAAUGAGACCUAUCGGAAUAAGACAUACAUCUUCAAGUAGUGGUUGGAAAGUUUAAAUGUAAAGGAGAGCAUGUUUUAUUUGAACAUUAAGAAUUCUGCAUCUUUUGCACUCUUAUCAUUAUGACAUUUUUGCUAUUUGCCUGCAGUGCAUGCAGCAAAGCGUUUGGUGCUAUUAAUAUUUUCAGAUAGGUUGUUUUGAUCACAACAGUUCCUUGGUUGUUGCAGACAAAAGGAAAAGCCCUGUUUGUCUCCUUAGAUGGUGUCAAACUGGAUCAUCCCUGUUCUGCUGUCUUUGGACUGCAUUUCCCAUAAUUCUGUGAAUCUUGGGAGUUCUGAUCCAACAGCAUUUGGGGAAACUACAUAUUGGCACCCUUGAUUUAAAGCAGACUUCCCCAAACUCCGGCCCUCCAGAUGUUGCUGAA